rnacentral:misc_RNA from 1 species
AAGUCGUAACAAGGUUUCCGUAGGUGAACCUGCGGAAGGAUCAUUAAUACGCUUUUGUUUGUAACAAAACAAAACGUUUUAAACUCCAAAAGAAAUAGUGGAAAUAUAACUUCCGGAUGCGAAUGUUGGGAACUGAGUAAAAUCGGUUCUUUGAAAAAGGGACUUCAAGUAAUUGACACUUCAGAGUAGAGCAGUGAGGUGAAAUUCUCUUUAAUGAGAGUUUGGUUCUGAAAACAUUUGUAUCCGGUUAUCAUAAUCUGUUCUACAACCUCCAAAAUAUCAAACAAUAAACCCCAUGUACAACAACUUGAACUAAACAUUUUUUUGUCGUCCGCUUACACACUUGUUGUGUGAGAAGAUACUGCAAAGAAAAAACCUGAACUUAAGAACAACUCUUAACAACGGAUAUCUUGGUUCUC